UACGGAGGGUGCAAGCGUUAAUCGGAAUUACUGGGCGUAAAGCGUGCGCAGGCGGUUUGUUAAGUCUGCUGUGAAAUCCCCGAGCUCAACUUGGGAAUUGCAGUGGAUACUGGCAAGCUGGAGUACGGUAGAGGAAGGUGGAAUUCCCGGUGUAGCAGUGAAAUGCGUAGAUAUCGGGAGGAACGCCAGUGGCGAAGGCGGCCUUCUGGACCAGUACUGACGCUCAUGCACGAAAGCGUGGGGAGCAAACAGG
rnacentral:rRNA from 1 species